rnacentral:rRNA from 1 species
GCAUAUCAAUAAGCGGAGGAAAAGAAAAUAACCAUGAUUCCCCUAGUAACGGCGAGUGAAGAGGGAAAAGCUCAAAGUUGGAACCUGGCUGUCUUAGAUAGUCCGGAUUGUAAACUAAAGAGCGUGAAUCCAGGCAAGCCGGUUGAUCAAGUCCUUUGGAAUGAGGCGCCACUGAGGGUGAGAGCCCCGUAAAUCGACUGAGCAUUUGUCUUUUGUGUUUCGCGUUCAAAGAGUCAGGUUGUUUGGGAAUGCAGCCUAAAGCUGGUGGUAAAUCCCACCUAAAGCUAAAUACAGGCGAGAGACCGAUAGCGAACAAGUACCGUGAGGGAAAGAUGAAAAGUACUUUGAAAAGAGAGUUAAACAGUAUGUGAAAUUGCCAAGAGGGAAGCAUUUGGAGUUAGACUGACUUGAAGUUAAUCAGCUUGGUCUUUGGACUGGGUGUACUUGACUUCUAUGUCUGCCAAUAGCAGUUAGUCCUGGUGGAAAAAACUGAAGGGAAGGUAGUCCUUCGGGAUGUUUAUAGACCUUUGGAAAAUACACUGGGAUUGACUGAGGAAUGCAGUAGAUGCUAUUAAGGCUUCGUCUAGUAGGUGUUAGGUGAAGGUACUUGGUAUUUUCAGCUUGCUGAUGUGCUAGGUUACUUGAGCUUUAAUGCUUGCUAGAACUGUAAUCUACUUUGGUUAUUGGCUUAAUGACUCUAAAUGGCCCGUCUUGAAACACGGACC